CUGGAUAAAACUUGUACUAGGAGCACAAGAUCAUCAGGAGGCAGAUAAGGAAGGAGAAUUGGUUCACCAACACCCUGAUGUGAAAAGUGACAAACCCAAACCUGGCACACCAAUGAAAUUUCAGAAUAGGUUAUGGGUUGUCAAGACUACCAAAGCAAACAGAACGCGCUCUUGAGAUUGAGAAUCCUUAGAGUUGGUGACAAGAAAAUUUUCGAGAUUUUGUUGGUGUCAUGAAGGAAGGAAGAAUGCCAACAUAGAAUACCAACACCUACUGAUGGGUGUUUGGGCUUUACCGGGUCAAGCUAAUGACGUUAAAGAAGCGCUUGCUGGGAGGCAACCCAGUUUCUAACUU
rnacentral:lncRNA from 1 species